GCGGAUGUGGCGGAAUUGGCAGACGCGCUGGCUUCAGGUGCCAGUGAGCAUUACGCUCGUGGAGGUUCGAGUCCUCUCAUCCGCA
rnacentral:tRNA from 1 species